GGUCAAGCUACAAAGAGCUAACGGUGGAU
rnacentral:rRNA from 2 species